rnacentral:rRNA from 1 species
AGUGAACGCUGGCGGUAGGCCUAACACAUGCAAGUCGAACGGCAGCACAGUAAGAGCUUGCUCUUACGGGUGGCGAGUGGCGGACGGGUGAGGAAUACAUCGGAAUCUACUUUUUCGUGGGGGAUAACGUAGGGAAACUUACGCUAAUACCGCAUACGACCUACGGGUGAAAGCAUGGGAUCUUCGGACCUUGCGCGAUUGCAUGAGCCGAUGUCGGAUUAGCUAGUUGGCGGGGUAAAGGCCCACCAAGGCGACGAUCCGUAGCUGGUCUGAGAGGAUGAUCAGCAACACUGGAACUGAGAAACGGUCCAGACGCCUACGGGAGACAGCAGAGGGGAAUAUUGGACAAUAGGCGCAAGCCUGAUCCAGCCAUACCGCGUGGGUGAAGAAGGCCUUCGGGUUGUAAAGCCCUUUUGUUGGGAAAGAAAAGCAGCAGGUUAAUACCCCGCUGUUCUGACGGUACCCAAAGAAUAAGCACCGGCUAACUUCGUG